UACGUAGGGUGCAAGCGUUAAUCGGAAUUACUGGGCGUAAAGCGUGCGCAGGCGGUUAUGUAAGACAGAUGUGAAAUCCCCGGGCUCAACCUGGGAACUGCAUUUGUGACUGCAUAGCUAGAGUACGGUAGAGGGGGAUGGAAUUCCGCGUGUAGCAGUGAAAUGCGUAGAUAUGCGGAGGAACACCGAUGGCGAAGGCAAUCCCCUGGACCUGUACUGACGCUCAUGCAC
rnacentral:rRNA from 1 species